rnacentral:rRNA from 1 species
UAGGGAAUAUUAGAAAUGGACGAAAGUCUGAUCUAGCAACACCGCGUGUGCGAAGAAGGCCUUCGGGUCGUAAAGCACUUUUUGGAAGGAAUAGGAAGGAAUGUACUUCCAGAGUAAGUCUCGGCUAACUACGUGCCAGCAGCCGCGGUAACACGUAGGAGGCAAACGUUAUCCGGAUUUACUGGGCGUAAAGCGCGUGUAGGUGGUACUGUAAGUAGGGCGUGAAAGCUCCCGGCUCAACUGGGAGAGGCCGUUCUAAACUACAGAACUAGAGGAUGGUAGAGGGAGGUGGAAUUCCAGGUGUAGCGGUGGAGUGCGCAGAUAUCUGGAGGAACACCGGUGGCGAAGGCGGCCUCCUGGACCAUUCCUGACACUCAGACGCGAAAGCUAGGGUAGCAAACGG